CCUGAGAAACCCAAAAGAUCGAAUGGGGAGAUUCAUCGUCAGCGAUCCUGGCACGUGUGCGGUUCGUGAUGCCGGAGACUUCGGUCUCCCGGCACACGUCCGUAUGGUUUCUUUUGCCUGGUGUCGUCGGCGUGCACUUCUCCCCUAGUAGGACGUCGCGACCCGUUGGGUGUCGGUCUACGGCCCGAGUGGGCGCCUGUCAUGUUUCACGCUUUAAACGGCGUCAUGUGGCAGACCCUCGGUUGUCUGACCAGCUGCUCGGCGGUACUCGCACGGUAUCGGGCCGCAAAAAAUUGCGUCCGGCCCGCCGCAAGCUAGGCCAGUGAUUCCCCGGAUGUUACGGACCUAGCGCCGUCACCGGGCCUGGCCGGCUGUUGGUUGGCGGUGUUCUGGGACUGGCUCGUGAAAUUUUACCGGUCGGCGACGCUACUGCUUUGGGUACUUUCAGGACCCGUCUUGAAACACGGACCA
rnacentral:rRNA from 1 species